GAAUUCAAGGAUAUUUAUGAAGUAUACCAUCAAUAUGCUCUUGAUGUCUUUCUCAUCAGCGUCUGGGUUCUGUAAGUGUGUAUUUAUUAGGUGUUAAUUUUAGCUCAGAUCAUUAUUUUGUGUGUGUGUCACCCUACUAACUUUGUCUUUCAUUUUAUGUAGGAUGCAAAUUCAGAGGUGUCGUCAAGAAUCGUAGUUCAACGUUGGCUUCAUGGACCCAACGCUUCUUAACCAAGAUCAAAUUCGAGAUCACCCAAAGGAUACAUUGGAC
rnacentral:lncRNA from 1 species